GAUUACUGAUAGUGUUUGUAAGAUGUUCAGCACAGUGGAGGGCAAAAGUAGCCCUUCAGUAUUUGGUAGAUGUAGGAAAAGUUUAAAUCAUCUUAGAGAGGUGGUUUUUCCCUUGUGCUCUGGAAAAAGAGAAGCCUCAUCUGCCAUGAAUGCCCUCUAAUCGUCCUUUGUGAGUCAAACUGUCACUGCUAGGACAGCCUGCCUUUUGUCUCUCUGCAUGGCAGCUGGAGCCCACCUCCCUCGGUCUGCCCAACGUCGAGCCUGGCAGUAUCAGGGCACCACCCCUGGAGAGAAGCACCCAGGCCCCUGGCUACCUACAGGACCUCUCCUCAUCUAGUUCCUACUGAAGAGCUCACAGAUCACACAGAAUACUCUGGUCCUGCUGAAGCAGCAGAUUUUAUUUUUCAGUAAUCUCUACACCCAACAUGGGGCUCGAACUCACAACCCUGAGAUCAAGAGUCACAGGCUCUACCGACUGAACCAGCCAGGAGCACCUGAAAACUCAUUUGGGGGCACUUGGGUGGCUCAGUAGGGUGAGUCCCAGUCCCAUAGCCCCUGCAGUGUCCUUGCAGGGGGCCGGAGCUGGAGGAUCGACAUACAUAGAUUCAUAGUCCCCAUUCUCACGGAGGCGCUCCUGAGUUUCCCAGACAGCUGCAGCAGCCGCACAGCCUCGGAAGUAUUGGUGUCACCCAGGACGCAGCACCAGGCAUCUUUUCACCUUGCCCUUGUUCUACUCAGAAUCUCUGGCAACUGUUCAAGGUCUUCUGCUUAUACUUCCUGAUAACAAUCCUCCUUUGGGGUGAUGAAAGAGGCCUGGGAAGUCCCUUCCUAUUUACCGAGGAAGCAUGGUCUUGUCUCCUGGGAACAGAAUCCAUAGCCUUUCUGUGAUGGAAAGUGCCAUGGGUCAGAGGUCCCAUCGUGCCACCAACUCUCAGAGUGACAGGGGUCAGUUGCUUCUUUUGUAUGCGCCCAAUUUCCCCACCUGUAAAAUUAAGGGACCAAGAUGCAUAUUCCUCUGUCUCUGAUAGUCUGGACAAGUGAAGGCAGCCUUGUGUUCCUUUGAGAAGGCUCCAAAACUAAGCUCUAGACUUCUCCUCAAAGAUGUGUAAUGUCUGGUUGGUGUUGCCUCUAACCUCCCCCUCCUGAGUGUGCUCAACUAUGAGGAACAAGUUGGAAAUGGAGAACUUUGGUGCUGAGAAGAUGUCAGGUAGAUUGUUAGAUGUAUAACAAAGUAUGCAGUGGAAUUAGACAUUAGCAGGGCUUUUUCUUUUCCUUUAAAGCUGAUAAAAAUGACUACUUUGAAAGGGCCAUGUUAUGGGCAGACUAAAUGCAUAUUUUGAAAGAGACUACUUAGUACUUCCACUGGUCAUACGGGAAGAGAAAGACCUUCUCUCUCUGGGCUGAGGGUGUUGUGUGUCAUGGAGAUUCCUGGGGAUUGGGUCAGGUGAGGGUGGACAGCCAGAUGAAGGAUGCCCCAAGAGGACCCUAUCUUUGGAAGAUACCUGGGAACCAGGAGAAACGAGCAUCACAAGGGAUUCUGCAGAAAGGCUGAGCCUGGGAGCUCUCUGAGGAGAUGUGUGGAGCAGCAGUGGAGGAGAGAUUCCUGCUCGUGGAAAAAGGGGCCGAUGGGAGAGCCAGGUCUUCGGGCAGAGGACCCCACAGCAGUGCGCUGGCAGGGCUCAGCCCAGCCACCAGCAGAGAGAUGCUCUCACAAAGACAUUGGGCAGAAGAAGCAGCACUGCUGUGGCCAAAGACGAGUGAGGAGCCUGUCUCGAAGCUUGUCUGAAGCCUGGCUCCAGAGCCCAUGAAGGAUGGCACUUGGGAACACCCUACAAACAUCAGGGAGCAGAUCUUCAGAGACAGACCGGAUUCCCUGCAUUGAGAGGGCAAGGGCUGGGGUAGAACAGGAAGUGGUCCUUCCUUUACAACUAGAGGGCUGGCAAGACUGGAGUCGUGAGAGCUGCUCCUCAUAGCAUUUACUCUGCAGCACACAGAGAUACUGUGCAGAACAGGGCAAAGAGCCAAUUACAAGAGCAAAAUGUACAGGAUCAGUACUUCUGGUAUAUUUACGGAACUGCUGCUGUGAUUAUCAUCAUUGCUAAUGAUCCAUCAUGGGAAUGUUUUCAUGACCUGUGGCCCAAUUUACAUGGAUCCUUUUGUUGAUUUCUGCUUCAUAACUAGGAUGCCAUUGUCCAGGCCUGUCUUUCACAUUUGUUGGGCCCAGGCCAACAGUGCAAAUGGAGGCCGACAUACUUAAAUAUUAUAAAUUCAGCUAACAGCAGUGUGAAUUAUUUAAUAUUGCAAAAUGCUCCUUAGCCACCAUACAUAUGCAACUGGUAUGAAUGCAGCACUAAUUAGUGACAGCACCUGGAACACACAUGGGAUCACAAAGAGAAGCAAAAAGUGGAUGCUCAGCACUAGUGGGAAAUUAUAUUCUGUUGUGCAAGAAUCUUGCUCUCUGAGAGCAAGGAUUGGGUAAAUCCAUUGUGUUUCUUUAUCUCAGCACACUGCCCACCUCCCAAGCUGCCUGCUUUUAGCCAUCAGCAAUCACCUUUGUUUUGAGACUACAGAACAAAGGGUUUGGAAUUGUUUUUUGCGGGGGCAGGGGGCUCUCAGUGGUGCUCAUCAAGAGGGUAGAUGUUUACUUAGGUUUUGUGCUUGUAAUGUGUAGGGUGCUCAAAAGCAUGGAGUCACUUUGUUGGGUCAGCAUUAUUUUAUUUCAUUUUAUUUCAGUUUUGACUUUAGAUACAGAAAUUUUAGUUCAGCAUACUCCUCGGUUCAUGCUACAACGCAAACUUCGGUGUGUCCAAGGGCCUCUUAAUACUGAAUGUGAAAUUCAGAGUUAGUUUUUCAGAGAACUAUCAAAUUAGACUAAAUGCACUGCUAAGAUGAUGGUUUGCAUCUAUUUAGAGAAAUUUGACUUAAAAUUAAUUUAAGACAGAUUCAGUUUAACUCUUAGAUUUUUUUUUUGUCGAAACAAGUUUCAGGUUUUUUCUUUACUAUCAGAUAAUAAGUGAUUGAGCAUCAGAAGGAUCAAUACCACUGGAUGUAGAUAAGUGUGUAUAGAGGCAGGUGUCUAGGUCCCCGUGAGGAAAAUACAGGGAACCAAGGAAAAGGUGCCAGACUUGUAGGCUGGGCUGCCUGUGUGUGCGGAGCAUGUGGCACAGCUCAUCCUUCAUCUCCAUCACUGGCUUGACCAUUGUGGCUAUCCUGGCAGUCAGCCACUUCUGGUCUCCCUGGCCAGCACGCAUGGGCCUUCCAAUCCCUGUGUUUCCUGACCCCAGCUGUCCAUUCAGCCAUUGUAGCUAGGCACCAUUUGAGCCUUGACAGGGUUUCUGGUAUCCCCUCAAACCCCAGGGGCCUGCAUGCCCUGUGUGCCCACCUCCCCAUUCUUAUCCCUACUGUCUUUCCUGGAGGCCAGGGCCCUGCUUGUGGAAGUUCUCCCUUGGCUGUCGACUGCAGCAGUGGAGAAUGUCCCUACGAGUGAGAGCACUACCACAAGCUGGCCUUGGGUGGCAGCCAUGGGAGUGUGCAGCUCACCUUCCCUUCAGGAGGGAGCCAGUCAAUAGGAGCCUCCAGCUGUAGCGCCCUCCGGAUCUGUGUCUGUGUUUGAACUGUGAAAGAACUGCCAUACUUUCCCAGGCAGCAACAACCAAUGACUAUGUCCAGUGGAGGCACUAGGACCUGACAAUAUCUGUCCAGUGCAGGACUCCUCUAAUGACCAAUCUGUGUUCUAGAGCUCCCAAUUAGGCUGGCCAAGAUUAUCCUGGAGCUGUACAGCUCUGAGGCUCUUCCUAUUUAAUUUUCCUUCCACUCAUCUCCUUUCACAGUGAUCAGAAAUGCACUGUGGUCUGAAGGCUCUCCCUGCCAACUCCUGUUCAUUCCUGCCUGUUCUCCUUCACAGUCAUCUCCCCAAGUGAAUCUCUUGCACUGCCAACUCCAUCUCAACAUCUGCUUCCUGGAGGAUCUGAACAGACAUAACUUGUGAGAAAGUCUGUGUUAGAGAAACCAUAUGUGGCUUUUCAGCUGUUGGCAGAGAAGGAGAAAAAUGCUUUAAGGGAAGGGUGAGCCAACAGUGGCCUUCCCAGAACCACUUGCCUAUAAGAACAUGGCUUGAACAGAAAAUAAAAUGGAGAAAAUGUGGGGGCCCCUUGAUUUCUGUGCUUUCCUGGGUGUAGCCUCUUUUCUGUACAAAGUAUAGGAAGUUUGGGAUCCAGGUCUCAUACUCAUCUCCUUCCUUUGCCAUCAUCCUCUUCCUCUCCAUCCUCCCCACCACCUGCAAGGGCUUUCAACAGGUGGGAUGCAACAGGGAAGAAACUGGCACUGAGGCCCUCUUUUCAUUUGUCCAACCUUCCUACAUAUAAAUUUAUAUGUGUUGUUAAUUUCUUGUGCAAAUAUCUCUUAAUUGUCUGGCUUCCUCUUUAGAAUGUAAGCCCUAUAAGCAAAGGGACCCUGUCUAUCCCAUUUUCAGCAUUGAUUCCCUAGAACCAAAAAAUAGUGUCUGAAACAUAACAGCUACUCAGUAAUAUUGGUUGAUGAAUAAAUGAGUGAGUGAAUGGAGGGUGGACCAUAUUUUUGUGCUUCCAGCAGCUAAAAAAGCAAACCAAGAAAUUAAAUGUGUCCCAAUAGUUUAGUAUGCUAGCCAAAAAUUAGAUCUCCCAUGGCCACCUUUCUAAUGCAUAUAGUCCCUGGGGUGUAUCUAUUCAUGCCCUUACUCCAUCACUGAGCAAUCUCUCUCCCCCAAAUAGUGGCCCCACUGCUGGAGAUGCCAUUCUUGUAUUCAAGAUGCUUUAAAAAAAUUCCUUGUAAGAAGCCUGUUCCCCAACCCCCUGUACUCAGACUUACCCAGAAUGCUAAAGCCAGUUCUGUCUGUGUUGGCCAACAUGUUUAGGGUGCCCUGCAAUUGCUCCCAACUCAGGAAAGCCUGUUAGAUGACAUUCCAGAGGGUGCUCCUCCCAUCUUCUUUUAUUUAAAUAAUUACAAGUCUCUUCUCCUGAAAGAAGUUCCCCAUGGGGCAAAGUCCUUUGGAAGGUGAUCCAAGCCUGGCUUUGCUGAUGUGCACUCAGACUUUAAAAAACAUCCUCUAUCAAUUAUCUCAGGCACUGGAGAUGCCAAUAAGUAAUUAUUUAUCUAAACCAAGAGGAAAAACAAUAGACACACUCAAGAGUUGAGUUUCACUCAAGACUCACUGGGCUUUCAGAGUGGAGGAGGGAAGGCUCUGUGUAUGCUUAUCUUCACCAAGGACCAAAGGAGACAAUGGGUUGAAAGGGCAGUGAAUCCCAAUGACUGCUGAGCAGUAGCUCCUUUUUUAUUUUUAUUAUUAUUUUUUCAUGUUUGUUUACUUUUGAGAGAGAGAGAGAGAGACAGAGCAUGAGUGGUGGAGGGGCAGAGAGAGAGAGGGAGACAGAAUCAGAAGCUGGCUCCAGGCCCUGAGCUGUCAGCACGGAUCCCAUCAUGGGGCUUGAACUCACAAACUGCGAGAUCAUGACCUGAGCUGAAGUCAGAUGCUUAACCGACUGAACCACCCAGGUGCCCUACGAGUAGCUCCUUUUUUAAAAAAUAAGGUUAGCUCACUCUUUCGAGUAUAUUAGACGUGCUCACGGAAGAGGCUGGGCUCUGGAUAAAGUCCUGUAUUCCCAUCUGGUCACCACACUAUAGUAAGCCAAUUCAAGGGCAAGUUGCCAUACCAGGGACAAGUCCUUUCAACAAGAGUCUCUGUCUACCCCUGUCAUUCACUUACUCUGUCUUCCAGAAAACAUUAUAUUAUAUAGAAGAAAAUCUCUCCAAGAUCAAGGUGACAAUAAGUAGGUUUACUCAACUAUUUUUUAUUUAUUCCAGAAACAUUCAUGACAUGUGAACUGCAUGCUAGGAAUUGUUCUAGAAGCUGAGGAUGUGUCAAUGAACAAAACAGGCAAGGUCCCUGCUCUCACAGAGCUUAUUCUUUAAUGGAAAGGAAAGCUGCAAAUAAAUAAGAAGACAAUUUCCAAUAGUAAUGAGUCCCAGGAAGACAAUGAAAGAGAUGAUGUGAUAGAGAGGAUGGGUUCUCUCUGGAUGAGGACAUGUGUUUGGGGACAGAGUUGCUAAUUUGGACUAGUGGUCAGGAAAGAACUCACAGAGGGUUUAACAUUUGAGCUAAGACUUGAACAACCCCAAAAGUCAGCCAUAUAGAGACCUAGAGGUAGAGCUUUCUGGGUAUAUAGAAGAAUAAGAAAAAGCCAAGGUUCUAAGAUGGGAUGAGCUAGGUGUGUUUCAGGAAUCAAAUGAAAGUCCAGAUGGCUGAAGUGUAAUGUAUGGUAGAGGUCAGAGAAGUAGGCUAUGUGAUGAAAAUAACCAACCUGCCAUACUAAUGAAAACUUUAAUGGUCUGUGCCCAUCUCAAUCUCUGGGCACCUAAGACUAGGUGUGUGUUGGUGCAGGGAUCACAGACUGGUAAUGGGAUGUGGGACCUGAGCUGACUUUAGUCAUUUCCACAGUAACACAUACAUGCAGGUGUGUCUAGAAUCCUUUGUUCCCACCAAACUUCUGGGCUGGCCUCUUCCAUGUUUUACUCUCAUGACCAAAUCAACAGAAGUGGCUUUGCAAACUCAGCAUUCCAAACCAACUACAGAAUUCCUAUUUAAACAACUCGUGGUUUAUGAGAGGGAAGUGGUCAGUUCUCAGUGCUUUCCAGUGAUUUCUCUGACUUCCACAUUAAUUCUGUCACUAUGCAGCAUCAGGCUACAGACCAAAUCCAAUUCAAAGAGCACCAGAGCUUCUCACUGGUCAAAACUUUGCAGAGGUUUACAGCACCUUCACUCACUUUCCCUGGUUUCUGUUGACUAUUAGAGCCAAUUUCUGUUGACUAUCUCAGUCAUUUGAGAGUCACACUUCCCACCCAGUGAAGGAAUCUCAGUGCUAACAUCCUUGUCAUCUAUCAUUGACUGGAUUGUUCCUCUAAUGGAGGGUUCACCUCCAUCUGAAGGAGUUGGUCCCUUUAUUGGACAACUUUAGUAAUUAGGAAGCUCAUCUACUUAUUGAGUGGACAUUUAAUCUUCUGGAACAUUUAUGUAGGGGGUAUUUGAAGAGAGUUAUCUUGUAGUCUGAGUCUUCUUAUCUCAGAAUUACAUAUCCAAUUCCUUACCUCUCUCCCUGAUGAAGUUUCUAGAUUAUUUUAAGCCCUCUGAUCUAUGUGUAUGAGUUAGGACUCCUUUGGUAACAAAUGACUGCAAAUUCACAUCAAAUUGAUUUAAACCAAAAAGAUAAUUUGUUGGUUUAUGUAACUGAGAAGUCCAAGAAAAGCACCAGGACUGUCUUCAUUUGGUGUCUGUUUUCUCCCUGUCUAGACCACAGGCUCAGCCUUCCUUUGUGUUGGGUUCAUUCUAGAGCUCUGUGGGGUAGUCCUUGGAACUCUAGGCUCACAGCAGUUUACAAGUGAUGCCCUGACUGGCUGGUCCUGAUUACAUUCCCUGGUAAAGCAAUGAAUAGGGAUCAGCAGCACUAGAAACAAAUGUACUGAGCAUGAGGAAAGAUGUUCUCCCAGAAGGGAAGUGUGGUAUAGCUACCUAGAGGGAAAAAAAAGAAUAGAUGCUUGGGAGCAGAGCAAUAGCACUCCACCUGAAUCACAGAUUUGAAAGUAACCAAUAUGUCCCACUUCAUCUGCUUGGGGUACAAUUAAGGUCAUAUCUCUUUUUGCAGUAUUCUAAUUAUAGACCUCAAGCCUCAAAUCUGAACUUAUUUUUCUCUCUUCCUGGGGUCUACCCUUCCGGGAUAAAUGGACAAGUAAGCAUCCAAGUUGUUAAUUUGUGUUCACUUGUAUGUUAUCCUGCCUCAUGGUAGGAGUAGAACUCAGACCUAUCCCAGAAACCAGAAAUCAGAAAUCACAGUUGUUGCCUCUGAGAUCCCUUGAGACUUCUGUUCUGCUGCUGCUGUGGCCCUCACCAUAAAAGGUGUCACCCUGCUGGUCACAGGUGAGAAUCUGUGGCCAACUGGGACUGAGUCUCCUAUUUAGGUACUGCUCUGGCAGAGGCAGGGGGUCCUCAGGCCCUGAUGGAGGCUGACUUCCAUGCUUCUCCCUUCCUAUGUCCUGAGCUGUAGGCUUAGCCAACAGGGUCCUCAACAAAGUAUGGCCUGGCUUCUGAGCAUGUACGUAAACAACUUUUUAAUGUUUGAGGGCUUUUGAGGAUGGGGAAGAAUUAGUACUCCUGUUCUUUGUUUAAUGGUUCAUUUGUCAAUGUUCCAAAUUUCUCAAAUGAUUAACAUUCCAUUAAUUUUAAAUGCACUGUAUUUCUCUACAUGUUCACACAACACUUACACAAUUAUAAAUCAAAACUCAUUGACUCACAAAUUAAAUUUCCCUAGUCAUUUUCCCAUUGAUGCGAAAUUAUUUAAUCUUCUAAACAUUCAUCAUGUUUAGAAAUCCCAUUAUUAUAAAUCCCAUUCUAAAACAAAUCCAUUAUAUCAGACUUUCUUAAAUACUUCAAAUACUUUAAGAAAUAAAAAUACUCCAAAUAUCACAGUCAUUAUAAAACUGAUUAUUAGACUUUUAUUAAAACCAUUUACAAAUGUGCUAGUACCUGGGGUUUUUUUAUUAUUUCUAUUCUUAUCCUCAUUCUUACUUUUAUUCUAAUAUUUCAUGGAAGUUCUCUUCCUAAGGUUUAUAAGGGAGAAAAUAAAAACCAUCUCUGUUUCUAGUUUUCUCUUUGUGGACUGCUUGCAACAAGGGAUGCUUCAAGCAAAUUUAGCUUUAAACACAGUGAAGUCUGACUUAUUUCACAAUGUUAAUAUAGGUUACACCUAGGGAGUGGCAGUGGGAGACAGAAAGGGAGAAACUUUAAUUUUUCUUGUAUAUACUCGUGUAUCAUUGGAGUAUUUUUUAAUCAAGCAUUUACUACCUUUGUGAUGAUUAAUACAGUUUUCAGAGCUUUGAAUGACAAAAACUAACCCACCUGUGGCCAACACUUCUAAUACUUUUGUAUUCCCUUCUAGUCGUUUUGUUUUUCCGCAGAGGCAUCUCUAUUUCUUUUUGCAAAAUAAAAACCACAACCCAUA